rnacentral:rRNA from 1 species
GAUGAACGCUAGCUACAGGCUUAACACAUGCAAGUCGAGGGGCAGCAUGGUCUUAGCUUGCUAAGGCCGAUGGCGACCGGCGCACGGGUGAGUAACACGUAUCCAACCUGCCGUCUACUCUUGGACAGCCUUCUGAAAGGAAGAUUAAUACAAGAUGGCAUCAUGAGUCCGCAUGUUCACAUGAUUAAAGGUAUUCCGGUAGACGAUGGGGAUGCGUUCCAUUAGAUAGUAGGCGGGGUAACGGCCCACCUAGCCGACGAUGGAUAGGGGUUCUGAGAGGAAGGUCCCCCACAUUGGAACUGAGACACGGUCCAAACUCCUACGGGAGGCAGCAGUGAGGAAUAUUGGUCAAUGGACGAGAGUCUGAACCAGCCAAGUAGCGUGAAGGAUGACUGCCCUAUGGGUUGUAAACUUCUUUUAAUAAAGGAAUAAAGUCGGGUAUGCAUACCCGUUUGCAUGUACUUUAUGAAUAAGGAUCGGCUAACUCCGUG